rnacentral:tRNA from 1 species
GCAGUGGUUGUUCAGUGGCAGAAUUCUUGCCUACCAUGCCGGAGACCCAGGUUCAAUUCCCAGCUACCGUA